rnacentral:rRNA from 1 species
UGCCCCUUAUGGACCUGGGCUACACACGUGCUACAAUGGUUGGUACAACGAGUUGCGAGUCGGUGACGGCGAGCUAAUCUCUUAAAGCCAAUCUCAGUUCGGAUUGUAGGCUGCAACUCGCCUACAUGAAGUCGGAAUCGCUAGUAAUCGCGGAUCAGCACGCCGCGGUGAAUACGUUCCCGGGCCUU